AAAAGUCAAACAAAUGUAUGUUUGACCAUGUUUUAGAAAAUAUAUCAAUAUCUACAACACGAAAAUUAUAUCAGUACGUAAUGGAAAUAAAUUGUCAUUUCCCUAAAUGAUUACAAUUAAGUUUUCCUGCAUUUCGUUUGGAGGAAAUUAUUUUGGCCCUUGGCGCUCCUAUUUUUCUUUUGCCGCCAGAAAAUAUCUCCCCGUGUAUAUUCUCUCUCACCCACGCCGCCAUCUCCCCACUUAUCUCCUUCAACCACCAAAUUCAUCUAAUGGGAUCCCUCCCUGGCCGGUGAUGUGCAUUGCCUCCACACAGGAGCGGCGAUCGAUUCGCUUGGUGGCGGACUGAGGGAGACUCGGUGGGCGGCGAGCGAUUGGAUGCGGCGGAGGUUGGGGGACAGAGACCGGCCGGCGGUUGCCCCGGGGGCGGGGGCGGCGGUGAUUGGGCGGCAGAUCGGAGGAAGCAUCUGCUGCGACGUAUAACUUCGUCUUCAACCUAUAGGUGGAAUAUGCAGAGCAAGCACGGAAGUACAUCUGUGCCGCCUAGGAUAGCCACCCCAGAUUCGUCGUUCCCCUGCCCAUUGUGAUCUGAUCGCUCAAGCUAUGAUCGUGGGGAGAGAUGAAAAACUACCAGCCUGGACGGCGCUCGUCGUGUCUGGCGUACAACCUGUUGCGUGUCAAUGACGGCUUUGCAAGGCGGCAGUGUUGGCGCCGGGCGCCGGCGACCACCUUUGGCUCCGCUCCUUGUCACCAUUUUGCCAUCCGUCCUCGCGCGUGGCCCUCGUGGCAAAACUCUAGACAUCAGGUGGGGAUUGGUGACCAUCGGCGUUGUUGCCUUGGAGCUACCAGCGCACGAUUCCACCUCUGACGUUUCAUGCCCGGGUGCUAUUUAUUGGACUCACUCCACUUGAUCUCAAGUGAUGCGAUCAUACAGGGGAGAGCAUUUCAAAGGAAUCAUGGACUGGAGGUGUAAGAAUGCUCAUACUGAAAAUAGCAAUGCAACCAAGUUAGGUGGUCUUCACCAAGUCACUAAGCAGGGUGGUUGAGGAUUUGAAAAGAGAGUGCAUUAAGGGAGCCAUGAGUAAUUGGGUAGUUGAGGAUUUGAAAAAGGAAGUGCACUGAAGGAGCUAGGAUCAGUUGAUGGACCAGUCUGUGAAUGAACAAGUAUUGUGGCUUAUGUUAUAUUUUAGCUUAAUUGAGAACUAUAGUUCUAGACUAUAGGAUAUUUUAUUAUUUAUUUGCAUGUUCUGUAUGAAUAUCUGUUAAUAUUCAGUUGUGAACUUUGGUGUAA